GACGAACGCUGGCGGCGUGCUUAACACAUGCAAGUCGAACGGAAAGGCCCUUCGGGGUACUCGAGUGGCGAACGGGUGAGUAACACGUGGGUGAUCUGCCCUGCACUUUGGGAUAAGCCUGGGAAACUGGGUCUAAUACCGAAUAGGACCACGCGCUUCAUGGUGUGUGGUGGAAAGCUUUUGCGGUGUGGGAUGGGCCCGCGGCCGAUCAGCUUGGUGGUGGGGUAAUGGCCUACCAAGGCGACGACCGGUAGCCGGCCUGAGAGGGUGACCGGCCACACUGGGACUGAGAUACGGCCCAGCCUACUACGGGAGGCAGCAGUGGGGAAUAUUGCACAAUGGGAGGAAGCCUGAUGCAGCGCCGCCGCGUGAGGGAUGACGGCCUUCGGGUUGUAAACCUCUUUCAAUAGGGACGAAGCGCAAGUGACGGUACCUAUAGAAGAAGCACCGGCCAACUACGUG
rnacentral:rRNA from 1 species